GUGCUCGCUUGGGUAGCACAUGUGCUAAAACUGGAACAAUACGGAGAAGAUUAGCAUGGCCCCCGUGAAAGGGUGACACACAAAUUCACGAAGCACUCCAUAGUUUU